UAGGGAAUCUUCCGCAAUGGACGCAAGUCUGACGGAGCAACGCCGCGUGAGUGAAGAAGGAUUUCGGUUUGUAAAACUCUGUUGUUAGGGAAGAACAGCGCAUAGAGUAACUGUUAUGCGUGUGACGGUAUCUAACCAGAAAGCCACGGCUAACUACGUGCCAGCAGCCGCGGUAAUACGUAGGUGGCAAGCGUUGUCCGGAUUUAUUGGGCGUAAAGCGAGGGCAGGCGGUCAAUUAAGUCGGAUGGGAAAGCCCCCGGCUCAACCGGGGAGGGUCAUUGGAAACGGGUUGACUUGAGGGCAGAAGGGGAGAGUGGAAUUCCAGGUGUAGCGGGGAAAUGCGUAGAUAUAUGGAGGAAAACCAGGGGCGAAGGCGACUCUCUGGUCUGUAACUGACGCUGAGGCUCGAAAGCGUGGGAAGCAAACAGG
rnacentral:rRNA from 1 species